rnacentral:rRNA from 1 species
GCAAGUCGAACGAAAUAUAUCGGUACUUGUACUGAUAUGGAAAGUGGCAAACGGGAGAGUAACGCAUUGGUAACCUACCCUGUACUCGAGAACAACUCAUGGAAACGUGAGCUAAUACUCGAUAUUGAUGAGGGGUCGUAAGACAUUCUCAUUCAAAGCUCCGGCGGUACAGGAGGGGCCUAUGUGCUAUCAGCUUGUUGGUGAGGUAAAAGCUCACCAAGGCUAUGACGGCUACCGGGCGUGAGAGCGUGGCC